GAUGAACGCUAGCGGAGGCUUAACACAUGCAAGUCGAGGGGCAGCAUAGGGUAGCAAUACUCUGAUGGCGACCGGCAGACGGGUGAGUAACGCGUAUGUAACCUACCCUGUACAGGGGGAUAACCCGGAGAAAUUCGGACUAAUAUCCCAUGGAAAUAUUGAGAGGCAUCUUUUGAUAUUUAAAGUUCCGGCGGUACGGGAUGGGCAUGCGUAACAUUAGCUAGUUGGUAAGGUAACGGCUUACCAAGGCUUUGAUGUUUAGGGGUCCUGAGAGGGUGAUCCCCCACACUGGUACUGAGACACGGACCAGACUCCUACGGGAGGCAGCAGUGAGGAAUAUUGGUCAAUGGGCGCAAGCCUGAACCAGCCAUCCCGCGUGCAGGAAGACGGCGCUAUGCGUUGUAAACUGCUUUUCCAGGGGGAGAAACUUGCGUACGUGAUACGCAAUUGACGGUACCCUGGGAAUAAGCAUCGGCUAACUCCGUG
rnacentral:rRNA from 1 species